AGGAAAGUGASACAGAAACCAGCGAUGAGACGAAAAAAAGGGACGAGUUUCCCUCUCCAGUCCAGGCGGUUCAAGGGCACGGGAAGAAGAAUCCGUGUUUUACAACCGGGCGGUCGWCCUUGAAAUGCUGAUAAGAGCGACGCAGACGGAGAGGGGAAAUAAAACUGGACUUUUGAACCUACAAUAGUUGAUUCUUAAGAUAAAUGGCUUAAACCCUUUACAUGAAUAAAUACAUUUCAUCACUC